rnacentral:lncRNA from 1 species
UUUUUGUUUUUUUUUUUUUUUUAAGUCUCUGUCUUUUGGUAUUUAAUGUGUUCUAGGACUCUUCGUGAAGUGAUCUUAUUUUGACAUCAUAAUGAUGUCAUUUUUUUCUUUCCAAAGUUUUAUGUAUUAAAUCAAAUUUUCAUAUGGAACAGUAUGUUAGAGAAAAGCACAAAGAAUACUAGAAGAAGGACUUGUUAACUUUUUUUUUUUUUGACUUGGCUAAUUCUUGUUUCUCCUUGUCUCAGAUGUCACCUUCUUCAGUUUGCCUUCCUGGAUCUUCCCAGGCUGUCCCGGGACCCCUCCCAUGUGCUCCCUAACUAUCCCCUUUAUUACUGGAACUACUACUCUGGGUCAUUCCAUUCACAUUUUGGUUUCCCCCCGUUAACUCUGAGUGCCUUUAUGUCAGAAGUACUGUCUUUAAUUUCCUUGUUCCCAGAAUCCAAUAGUACUUGGUAAAGGGCAAGUACUAGAAUAUCCAUUAAGUGAAAAUGCGCAGAUGGAAGGAAAACAGCUAAUUUAACUCGUUAGUGAGGUCUCCACCUCCCACCCCACCCCCCAAAUAGAAGGCAUUUUUUCAUCUUUAAAGUAUCACAGUAGGGCUUAGAAAUUAUCCAUCGUCUUGUUUCCGUAGCUGGACAACAUUUAAAUCUUAUUCAUCAGCCUGCUGAAUUAUUCCUUUUUAAAAGAUAUAGACAUCAUCCUGUUGCAGGAUUUUUGGACAGAGAGAUGGGACACUGAGGCUUUUUGCCAGGAAGCAGCAUUUUUUCGUGCCGGCACUGGGUCAGCGGAUUCAUAUCCAAAGGCUGAGCCCCGAACACAGCGGGGUGCUGUCUUAUAUACCCUCCGUUAUUUUCCCUUUUACACUUUGGUCCCUUUGUCCCCCUUAGCAGCUGAACUCGACGCAAAUUCAAUAUUGUUUCCUUCAAGAAUUAACUCCUCUUUAGGGGCGUGAAAUACUCUGUGGAUUUUUUUUCACCGAGGAAAUUUUGGAGUCCAACAAGAGGUCUAUCUUCUUGAAUAAGGAUGUUGAUGGGGAAGUUGUAAGGAUCCCCAAGUGUUACCGCCCUUGGUGGUGUUCUGUACAAGAUUACAGAUAGUGCCUCUGGGACCCUUCACAGUUACUUUGUGACGCUUCCUGAAUGUCAACAUUCUGUUGAGAAUUGGCUUCAUCCUUGCAGUAGUUGUGGAAAAGGGAGGUGCAAUAUUUUUUUGCUUUUGUUUUUAAGGUCGUAUUAUAACAUAAUUCCCAUGGUACUGAAAAAAAAAAUUUUUUUUUGGUGGGAGAAACCACAAUUUGAGAAAAGAAGAUCAAUUGCUUUGUUUUGGACCUUGUGUGUAAAAUGAUAUACAGUGGGCCCUGCAUAUCUGUGUGUGCGGAACCAAUGGAUACGGAAACCUGAUUGUAUUGUGCCAUUUUAUGUGAAGGACUUGAACAUCUGAGGAUUCCCCCCCUCCCCCCCUUUUUAAAGUUUUAUUGAAUUGUAGUUGAUUUACAAUGUUGUGAUAAUUUCUGCUGUAUAACAAAGUGAAUCAGUUAUACACACACACACACAUAUUCAUUCUUUGUCAGAUUCUUUUUCUAUAUAGAUUAGCACAGAAUAUUGGGUAGAGUUCCCUGUGCUAUACAGCAGGUCCCCACUGGCCAAUUCUUCCAUAUACCACAGUGUCAUAUAUCAAUCCCAAACCCCAAUCCGUUUCUCCCCUACACCUGUCCCCUGUGGUAACCAUAAGUUUGUUUUCAAAGUCCACAAGUCUGUUUUUGUUCUGCAAAUACGUUUAUUUGUAUUCUCUUUUUAGGUACCACGUAUAAGUGAUAUCAUAUGAUGUUUGUCUUUCUCUGUCUGAUUUACUUCACUUAGUAUGAUAACCCAUGGAUAUGGAGGCCCAGUUGUACCGGGCCAUUUUAUGUAAGGGAUUUGAGCAUCCGAGGAUUUCGAUGUCUGUGCAGGGCGUCCUGGAAUCAGUCCCCUGCAGAUGCCCAGGGGGCCAUAUUUCCACCUAGCCCUUCACACUCACAAACUUUUCAGAGUCAGAAUCUUUUAAGCCUUUAAAGGAUGGUUACCUAUUUUUGAGAAGGUGAUUUUUCUCAAUAUCAGAACUUAUUUCUAUUGGCUAAGAGGGACAAAUCAUAAUUUUUGUAAUUCAGGUUAGGUUCUAUCAUAAUAAAUAACAUUGCAUUCUUUUCAUAGCUUUUUAAUUUACUCUCAAGUGAGGGUACUCUGAGUUUUAAAUUUGUUCCUUUUAGCUAGAGUACUAUUGUUUAAAAUUACCUGCUUUGGAGGAGAGGGGCAAGAUAGUGAAAGGAAUUGAGAGUACAAACUACUAGGUAUAAAAUAAACAAGAUCCAAGGAUGUAUGUUCAGCACAGAGAUGAUAGCCAAUAUUUUUAUAUGGACUACAAUCUAUAAAAAUAUUGAAUCACGAUGUUGUAUACUGGAAACUGAGAAGUCAACUGUAUUUCAAUAAUUAAAAAAAAAAAAACUGCUUAAUUAAAAGAUGUAUCCAAGGCCUGAAAUUAACCUGCUGGUUUGUAAAUCAUCAUAUCAGGAUAAACUUAGCCUUCAAUUCGAGUAGCAGCAUUUUCUUCAUAAUUUAAUAAUAGUGGCAAUUAUGUAUAUGUGAAAGUCAAAAGUUUAUGAAGCUAGUUUUUAAUGACAUGCAUGGUGCUUGUUUUUGUUUUAUUGAAGUAUAGCUGAUAUACAGCAUUAUGUAAGUUACAGGUGUACAACAGAGUGAUUCACAAUUUUUAAAGGUUAUGCUUCGUUUAUAGUAAUUAUAAAAUAUUUACUAUAUUCCUUGUGUUGUACAGUAUAUCCUUGUAGCUUAUUUUAUACCUAGCAGUUUGUACCUCUUACUUCCCUACGUCUAAAUUGCCUCUUCCCCCUUCCUCCUCCCCACUGUAACCACUAGUUUGUUCUGCUGUUUUUGUAUAUUUACUCAUUUGAUAUAUUUUUUUAGAUUCCACAUAUAAGCGAUAUCGUAACAGUAUUUGUCUUUCUCUGACUUAUUUCACUUAAUGUCCUCUGAGUCCAUCCCUGUUGCUGCAGUUGGCAAAAUUUCAUUCUUUUUUAUGUCUGAGUAGUAUUCCAUGUCAUACAUAUAUACCACAUCUUCUUUAUCCAUUCAUCUGUUGAUGGACACCUAGUAUUCAGUAUCUUGGCGAUUGUAAAUAAUGUUGCUAUGAACAUUGUUUGAGGUGCAUGUGUCUUUUUGAAUUAUUUAUGUAUUUAUUUAUGUAUUUUCAGAUAUAUACCCAGGAGUGGAAUGCUGGAUCAUAUGGUAGAUCUUUGUUUAGUCUUUCGAGAAACCUCCAUAUUGUUUUCCACAGUGGCGAAACUAAUUUACAUUCUCACCAACAGUGUACAAGGCUGCCCUUUUACUCUACAUCCUCACCAACAUUUGUUCUUUUUGACGAUAGCCAUUUCUGACAAGUGGGAGGUGAUACCACAUUGUGGUUUUGAUCUGCGUCUCCCUGAUGAUUAGCGAUGUUGAGCAUCUUUUCAUGUGCCUGUUAGCCAUCUGCAUUUCUUCUCUGGGAAAAUGUCUGUUCAGCAUUCUGCCCAGUUUUUAAGUGGGUUGUUUGUUAUUUUGCUGUUGAGUUGUACGGGCUGUUUGUAUAUGUUGGAUAUUAACUCCUUAUUGGUCAUUUGCAGAUAUCUUCUCCCAUUCAGUAGAUUGGCUUUUUGUUUUGUUAAUGGUUUCCUUACCUGGGCAAAGUCUUUUAAGUUUACUUAGAUCUCAUUUGUUUAUUUUUUGGAUCCAUCUCCUAAAACAAAGGAAAUAAAAGCAUUCCACUUGGUUUAAGUUGGGUCUUUUCUCUAAGUGCUCUUAGUUAUAUAUGUUUCCAAGUGUCUUUCUUUUUCUUAAGUUCUAAUGUUUUGGAUAAUUACUUACCAAACUUAUGUGUGAAUUUCAAAUCAGAAAACAGGGAACAUAUCACAGGUUUUAUCAAGUCCUCACCUAAAAAGGAUUGGUGGGGGAAGAUGAGCAUUCUGUCUGAGAUGGAGUUCUAAAGGAACAUCGAUUUUUGUGGACAGGGCGCUGUCUGGAUGGGAAUCAGAGAGCUGAAUACAGUCCCAACUUUGCUACUCCCUUAAAUACUGAUGUGAUUUCAGCAGAUCACCUUACUUCUCUUAGCUACUCCUAGUUCCCCCAUCUAUAAAAUGAGGCUGGAUUAGGUGGUCUGAAGGGCCAUUGCAGAUCACCUAAUUCUAUAGCUUGUUUUGUAUUGUCAGGAUUUCAUAUUCUUGAAGUCCAGAGUUGACAAAUAAGGUGUGGGAAGAAAUGCCACAGUUUUGAAUAAUCCAAAUGGAUUUUGUCCAACCUUGUGUGCUUAUCCCCAAAGAAGAAGAAAAUGCAAACGAGCCAGGGGGCUAACGUGAAAAUGGUCACCGUGUGGAGAACAUUGAAGCAGACAGCUGAAAGCUGCAUUUCCUGGCCGGCCUGCCAUGGGAAAGGCUGAGACUGCCAAAGCCUCCAGGCAAUCAAGGCCAGAACUUUGGCUUGCUCUUACUUUGAGCUACCCCCAUACCACACACACAAACCACACAGGAAAAUUGUCUGUCUCCCUUCAUAUUUGUACAUUUUGGCUACACUUCUAUUUAUGCCAAGCUCUCGCCUAAUCCCCUUCCUUCCAGCUGUCACUAUAUUCUGCCUGUUGCUUUCUGGGGCUUUGGAAAGCAGCUGCAGUCUUCAGCAGAGGCCCAGGGGUGGUGGCCUUGGCAGUGGAGCGUUGUUAGGGUGUGUGGACUCUCAGAACCAGCAGUCACUCUUACCUGGUUUAUUGGCAGUUUGAGCAGUAUUCUCAUUCUCCCUCCUUGGCAAAUGUCAGAAGUGAUGGCUUUAAUUUUUUUACCUUUCCGUUGCUCUUUGGGGAGUUUCCCCACCCCCUACAUUCCUCACCCUUUUUGUCUGCAAACAUCCUGUGGAAGAUUUAGUUUGUCUUAGGUUCUUUUGCCAGGCUACUCAUCUUCUUCUUCUUUUUAAUUUUCCACAUAAAAACGUAUUUAUCUGUUGGGAGAGCUUAAGAUGGAUCACCAGAGCUUAUAAGCCUAGAAAUCUGACCCCUUCUCAUCUCUGACAGUAUAUCCCAAACCAUUAGGUCUCCCAAGACCCAGAGACCACUUGGCUCUUCUCUGUCUGUCCAGCCUUAGCUGCUGGAGACCUAGUUUUAGUGUCCUUUCACCUCUGGCCUGGGAUGGAGCUGGUCUGCUUACAUCUCGUAUUGGCUCUUAGUGAUGGCACCUGAGCAGAGCGAUGCUUGGUUCUUAGCCUUUUAGAAAACGGAAUAAGAAUCAGGACAUCUGACUGAAGAAUGUUGGCGGAAUGUAAGGAGAAGCCAUAUUAUUAUGAAGGUUUUAAAUCAUUCCUCUGUGCCCAGAAUGACCUGGCUGGUCUGAAUACUGAAAGCCAAACAAAACGAAACUCCCACACAGUCGUUGUCUUGUGUUGAUGUAGGGAGCUUUUUUGGGUACAAUGGGUUGUUCUUCUCUGCCACUCCCUCUGGAAACUACAUCAACUAUCUUGCCCUCUACCUGGCAGCACCAGCCCACACUCCUGUUUAUAUAAGAGGAACCCCACAUAGUUUUCAGGACCUCGUGGAAAACAACAAAACUCAAAGUGUGUCUGCAUUUGGGUUUGUCUGAUAGAUUCUUGUGUUUAUGAAUUUUGUAUUUCAUUUUAAAGAAUUUAAAUGUUAAUUGAUGUUAAAAUCAAAUAGGCAAGGAGUUCCCUUCAUGGCUCAGCGGUUAACGAACCCAGCUAGGAUACAUGAGGAUGUAGGUUCGAUCUCUGGCCUCUCUCAGUGGGUUAAGGAGUGGCGCGGCUGUGAGCUGUGGUGUAGGUCACAGACGUGGCUCCGAUUCCACAUUACUGUGGCUGUGGUAUAGGCCUGCAGCUGAAGCUCCAAUUCGACCUCUAGCCUGGGAGCUUCCAUAUGCUGCAGCUGUGGCCC